CUGGAAAGAUGAAUCAAAGAAGGUAAUAAUCCUGUAGUCGAAAAUGUUGUCUCUCUUGAGUGGAUCCUGAGUACGACGGAGCACGUGAAAUUCCGUCGGAAUCUGGGAGGACCAUCUCCUAAGGCUAAAUACUCUCUAGUGACCGAUAGUGAACCAGUACCGUGAGGGAAAGGUGAAAAGCACCCCGGAAGGGGAGUGAAAUAGAACCUGAAACCGUGUGCUUACAAGUAGUCAGAGCCCGUUAAUGGGUGAUGGCGUGCCUUUUGUAGAAUGAACCGGCGAGUUACGAUUUGAUGCAAGGUUAAGCAGUAAAUGUGGAGCCGUAGCGAAAGCGAGUCUGAAUAGGGCGUUUAGUAUUUGGUCGUAGACCCGAAACCAGGUGAUCUACCCUUGGUCAGGUUGAAGUUCAGGUAACACUGAAUGGAGGACCGAACCGACUUACGUUGAAAAGUGAGCGGAUGAACUGAGGGUAGCGGAGAAAUUCCAAUCGAACCUGGAGAUAGCUGGUUCUCUCCGAAAUAGCUUUAGGGCUAGCCUCAAGUGAUGAUUAUUGGAGGUAGAGCACUGUUUGGACGAGGGGCCCCUCUCGGGUUACCGAAUUCAGACAAACUCCGAAUGCCAAUUAAUUUAACUUGGGAGUCAGAACAUGGGUGAUAAGGUCCGUGUUCGAAAGGGAAACAGCCCAGACCACCAGCUAAGGUCCCAAAAUAUAUGUUAAGUGGAAAAGGAUGUGGCGUUGCCCAGACAACUAGGAUGUUGGCUUAGAAGCAGCCAUCAUUUAAAGAGUGCGUAAUAGCUCACUAGUCGAGUGACACUGCGCCGAAAAUGUACCGGGGCUAAACAUAUUACCGAAGCUGUGGAUUGUCCUUUGGACAAUGGUAGGAGAGCGUUCUAAGGGCGUUGAAGCAUGAUCGUAAGGACAUGUGGAGCGCUUAGAAGUGAGAAUGCCGGUGUGAGUAGCGAAAGACGGGUGAGAAUCCCGUCCACCGAUUGACUAAGGUUUCCAGAGGAAGGCUCGUCCGCUCUGGGUUAGUCGGGUCCUAAGCUGAGGCCGACAGGCGUAGGCGAUGGAUAACAGGUUGAUAUUCCUGUACCACCUAUAAUCGUUUUAAUCGAUGGGGGGACGCAGUAGGAUAGGCGAAGCGUGCGAUUGGAUUGCACGUCUAAGCAGUAAGGCUGAGUAUUAGGCAAAUCCGGUACUCGUUAAGGCUGAGC
rnacentral:rRNA from 1 species